rnacentral:rRNA from 1 species
CCUACGGGUGGCAGCAGUGAGGAAUAUUGGUCAAUGGACGAGAGUCUGAACCAGCCAAGUAGCGUGAGGGAUGACUGCCCUAUGGGUUGUAAACUUCUUUUGUCAGGGACGAAGAAAGUGACGGUACCUGACGACUAAGCCACGGCUAACUACGUGCCAGCAGCCGCGGUAAUACGUAGGUGGCAAGCGUUAUCCGGACUGACUGGGUGUAGAGGGCGUGUGGGUGGGACUGCAAGUCAGAUGUGAAAUUCCAGGGCUCAACCCUGGAACUGCAUUUGAAACUGUAGUGCUUGAGUGAUGGAGAGGCAGGCGGAAUGCCGGGUGUAGCGGUGAAAUGCGUAGAUAUACGGAGGAACACCAGUGGCGAAGGCAGCCUGCUGGACAUUAACUGACGCUGAGGCGCGAAAGCGUGGGGAGCAAACAGGAUUAGAUACCCGAGUAGUC